ensembl:snoRNA Gm22871 predicted gene, 22871
UGCUGGUGAUGAAGUUGCCUCACUCUGAGUACUGGGCCUUGCCAGGGGUAAGCCAGGCA